rnacentral:rRNA from 1 species
AACGAACGCUGGCGGCAUGCCUAACACAUGCAAGUCGAACGGACUGCUUCGGCAGUCAGUGGCGGACGGGUGAGUAACGCGUGGGAAUCUGCCCUGGGGUACGGAACAACGCCGGGAAACUGGCGCUAAUACCGUAUACGGCUUAAGAGCGAAAGAUUUAUCGCCCUGGGAUGAGCCCGCGUCGGAUUAGGUAGUUGGUGGGGUAAAAGCCUACCAAGCCUUCGAUCCGUAGCUGGUCUGAGAGGAUGAUCAGCCACACUGGGACUGAGACACGGCCCAGACUCUUGCGGGAGCAAGCAGGGGGGAAUAUUGGACAAGGGGCGAAGGCUUGAUCCAGCAAUGCGGGGUGGGUGAGGAAGGCCUUAGGGUUGUAAAGCUCUUUGGGCGGGGAAGAUUAUGCCGGUACCCGAAGAAGAAGCCCCGGCUAACUUCGUGCCAGCAGCCGCCGAAA